UCGUUCCGACCUCCGAACCGGCCUUCGUGAAACUAAUCCGGGAGAACAUCAUGUAUGAAUGUGAAACUAUCCGCCCAGCCUACAGCCCAUUAAGGUUGAGCUGCAGAACUUGUAAGUGCUAACAGAACCAUGUUUUUGUAUGCAUUGGAUGGGACCUUUGAUUCUAGUUGCUCUCGGGUAGUCUUUAUAUGUUGAUAGUAUAAAGUAAUAUAUUAUGGUCCGAUCUAAACGAGUAGCUCCGUAGUCAUCUCUGUUCCGGAAUAUCUCUUCGAUCAACUUGAUUUUGAAUUGGACAGGUUGAUCUUGAAUUAUAUUAGUCUCAAUUUGAGCUUUUAUUCAAGCCCAGGUGUUCAAUUUUUGGAUCAAGUCGGAACUCGUCAAAGACAUCUUGAGUUGAAGUCAAGUAGCAAAUAAUUCGAGCACUUGAGUCAAACUCAAAUAUCUUAUUUUCUUGAAAAGACAAUGAUUGUUUUAUCAAAACAUGGAGACUUUUAAUCCAACUUUGUAGUUAUUUGUUGUCUAGUUCGUUCGAAGCACAUGUUCAUGGUUGACGAUUAACAUGCAUCUUUCACCAUUGAACUGAUCCUGAGAAAAUUGUUGAAAUUUUUACCAGCUUACAGCGCUCGGUCUAAUUUGGGUUGGUUAUGGAUCCUGACAUCCUAUACAAGAUUUAUUCCCGCUUUGUUAUCAUUUAUAUUUCCAGUGAUUUCAAGAGAGAAAUAUUAAAGUAAUGCAAUCUGAAAUAUAUUGAACUCCAUGCAUAUAGCAUUUUUCAAAAUAAAUUAGACCGAGUUCAAAAUAUUGAAUUAUUAGUCCAAAAUUUAUUCAGUUCAUAGGAUGGUUUGAGUUUGUUGAACCAAAACCUGUCAGAAUCAGAUGAUAAGAAGUCUGAACCAGGAGAUCGAUUCAACUUAGAACUCAAUUCAUCCUAAAAUGUAUCUUUUCCUUCUUUCAAUCUGUCUGAUUACUGUUUGAUCUUGUUGUUUAACUAGCUUCCCCAAGUUUCAUUGACGUAGAUUUAUCUAGGAUUUUCCUUUACCAGAGAAUUCGCAAGGGACCUGAGCUAUAUUUGUUGGAUUGGGAUUCCUUGGAGGUAUUUCAUAUUUGUACACUAUUCUGGAUCUACGGUGGACAAAGCCAAAUGCAUAAGUAAUGAUGCAACAAUUGGAAAACACUGUAAAUCCUCUCUUCCAUGCUGAUGUUUACUGGUUUUUCUCCAACAAUCCUGUGAAAGUGACUUGUAUUGAUCUUCCAUCACUUGUAGCUGAAAGCCUAAUUAUUAUUACAUACAGUCUGCUUCUGAUAAGUAACCAUCAAUUUCACAUGCAUUUCGCGUAUGUUUAGUACUCAGUAUUACACCCAUUGGACUGUAUAAUGGAUGUAUUUUAGCUCAUUUUUUGUAAUACCUCCAAAAGCCUUUAUAGUCAUUAAUUAUGAAAUUAAGACCUUUGUGUAAGAGGACGAAGGUUCGAGGACCAAAAUAUAUAUUGUCCAAUAUUUGAUGGAUUACACGUGCAAUUUCCUAAACUAUAGAUCUAUAUAUGAGCAUGAUUUUGAUA